rnacentral:rRNA from 1 species
AUGGCUGGUUUUGAAAAAAUAAACAUACUAACUAAAGUCAAUUUAUUCAAACGAUGUUUUCGGGGAGAUAAAACCUGUCAAUUGCGUGGUAGAGAUGAGAUUAUUGGUGGAGAGGAAUCAGUAUUACAACAGAACUUGAAGCUGCCGAAGAUGGAUGAUGUUUGGUUUUGGUGGAAAGAUCAGGUGCAUAUGAACAACCUAUCAUCUUCCAUUUUUACUUUUCAUCAUUCAACGGGACAAUUUCCUAAUUCUUUGUUAGUACUCUCUGGAAAGAUUAUUAGUAUGGGUAUAGGUUUGUCAAAAUUUAUUUGCACAUGA